rnacentral:tRNA from 1 species
GGGCAAUUAGCUCAAUUGGUAGAGCACUUCCCUUACAAGGAAUAGGUUGGCGGUUCGAGUCCGUCAUUGCCCACCA